rnacentral:rRNA from 1 species
AUUGAACGCUGGCGGCAUGCUUUACACAUGCAAGUCGAACGGUAACAGGCCUUCGGGUGCUGACGAGUGGCGAACGGGUGAGUAAUGCAUCGGAACGUACCCAGAGGUGGGGGAUAACGCAGCGAAAGCUGUGCUAAUACCGCAUGUGAUCUGAGGAUGAAAGCGGGGGACCGAGCAGCAAUGUUUGGCCUCGCGCCUUUGGAGCGGCCGAUGUCGGAUUAGCUAGUUGGUGGGGUAAAGGCCUACCAAGGCGACGAUCCGUAGCUGGUCUGGGAGGACGACCAGCCACACUGGGACUGAGACACGGCCCAGACUCCUACGGGAGGCAGCAGUGGGGAAUUUUGGACAAUGGGCGCAAGCCUGAUCCAGCAAUGCCGCGUGCGGGAAGAAGGCCUUCGGGUUGUAAACCGCUUUUGGCAGGAACGAAACGGUGUCCGCUAAUACCGGGCGCUAAUGACGGUACCUGCAGAAUAAGCACCGGCUAACUACGUG